AUUCCUACGGGAGGCAGCAGUGGGGAAUCUUGGACAAUGGGGGCAACCCUGAUCCAGCCAUGCCGCGUGAGUGAUGAAGGCCUUAGGGUCGUAAAGCUCUUUCGCCUGUGAUGAUAAUGACAGUAGCAGGUAAAGAAACCCCGGCUAACUCCGUGCCAGCAGCCGCGGUAAUACGGAGGGGGUUAGCGUUGUUCGGAAUUACUGGGCGUAAAGCGCGCGUAGGCGGAUUAGUCAGUUAGAGGUGAAAUCCCGGGGCUCAACCCCGGAACUGCCUUUAAUACUGCUAGUCUUGAGUUCGAGAGAGGUGAGUGGAAUUCCGAGUGUAGAGGUGAAAUUCGUAGAUAUUCGGAGGAACACCAGUGGCGAAGGCGGCUCACUGGCUCGAUACUGACGCUGAGGUGCGAAAGUGUGGGGAGCAAACAGGAUUAGAUACCCUGGUAGUCCACACCGUAAACGAUGAAUGCCAGUCGUCGGGUAGCAUGCUAUUCGGUGACACACCUAACGGAUUAAGCAUUCCGCCUGGGGAGUACGGUCGCAAGAUUAAAACUCAAAGGAAUUGACGGAAU
rnacentral:rRNA from 1 species